rnacentral:rRNA from 1 species
UGCAAUUGGACGAAAGUUCUGACGGAGCACGCCGCGUGAGUGAAUGAAGGCUUCGGUCGUAAAACUCUGUUGUAAGGGAAGAACAAGUGCUAGUUGAUAAGCUGGCACCUUGACCGGUACCUAACCAGAAAGGCCACGGCCUAACUACGUGCCAGCAGCCGCGGUAAUACGUAGGUGGCAAGCGUUAUCCGGAAUUAUUGGCGUAAAAGCGCGCGCAGGUGGUUUCUUAAGUCUGAUGUGAAAGCCCACGGUUCAACCGGUGGAGGGUCAUUGGAAACUGGGAGACUUGAGUGCAGAAGAGGAAAGUGGAAUUUCCAUGUGUAGCGGUGAAAUGCGUAGAGAUAUGGAGGAACACCAGUGGCGAAGGCGACUUUCUGGUCUGUAACUGACACUGAGGCGCGAAAGCGUGGGGAGCAAACAGGAUUAGAUACCCUGGUAGUCCACGCCGUAAACGAUGAGUGCUAAGUGUUAGAGGGUUUCCGCCCUUUAGUGCUGAAGUUAACGCAUUAAGCACUCCGCCUGGGGAGUACGGCCGCAAGGCUGAAAUUCAAAGGAAUUGACGGGGGCCCGCCCAAGCGGUGGAGCAUGUGGUUUAAUUGGAAGCAACGCGAAGAACCUUACCAGGUCUUGACAUCUUCUGACAACCCUAGAGAUAGGGCUUUUCCUUCGGGAGCAGAGUGACAGGUGGUGCAUGGUUGUCGUCAGCUCGUGUCGUGAGAUGUUGGGUUAAGUCCCGCAACGAGCGCAACCCUUGAUCUUAGUUGCCAUCAUUAAGUUGGGCACUUUAAGGUGACUGCCGGUGACAAACCGGAGGAAGGUGGGGAUGACGUCAAAUCAUCAUGCCCCUUAUGACCUGGGCUACACACGUGCUACAAUGGACGGUACAAAGAGCUGCAAGACCGCGAGGUGGAGCUAAUUUCAUAAAACCGUUUUCAGUUCGGAUUGUAGGCUGCAACUCGCCUACAUGAAGCUGGAAUCGUUAGUAAUCGCGGAUCACCAUGCCGCGGUGAAUACGUUCCCGGCCCUUGUACACACCGCCCGUCACACCACGAGAGUUUGUACCACCCGAAGUCGGUGGGGUAACCUUUGGAGCCAGCCGCCUAAGGUGACAGAGCACA